rnacentral:misc_RNA from 1 species
UGGUUCUCGCAUCGAUGAAGAACGCAGCGAAACGCGAUAGGUAAUGUGAAUUGCAGAAUUCCGUGAAUCAUCGAAUCUUUGAACGCACAUUGCGCCUGCUGGUAUUCCGGUAGGCAUGCCUGUUUGAGCGUCAGCAAAACUCCUCAGCAUGAAAUUUUUUGUGUUGGUUAUGGGUAGUGGAGGAUGAGCCUAAACCGUUCACUCCCGCCUUAAACUUGCUGCACGACCGCAAGCUAAAAGCUAGGUUAAUGGAGUGGUAUUUACAUAUAUUCCAGCAUCUGCUAAUAGCUUUGUGGCGUUAAACAUAAAGUUACCCUCCGGGUAACUGAAGUUUGACCUCAAAUCAGACAAGGAUACCCGCUGA